GUUUCAAUUUUUAUACCCCGGACAUUUUUUAUGGUUUUGAGGAAUAUCCCGAUAAUGUAGGAGUGAGCAGAUAUAGAGAUUCAAGAAAGAAAGAAACAGAGAUAGGAUGAAGAGACAAUAUAUAAUUUUUUUUAUAAGUUUCAGUAAGAUGUGGUCGAAUGGUUAACUUUCUAAAAAAUAUACACCUAUUUUAUUAUGAAAAGGUUCAAGGAAAGAGUUUAAUGAAAGGAUUUAAUGGUUAAUUUUUGAAAAUAUACUUCUUUAAUGAAUAAACAUGUCUUGCUCAAGUGGAUGAUUUUUUUUUUAAGUUUCUAUUAUGAAAGGUUUCACUGAUUUUUUUUUUUUUUUCAACGGUUUCACUGAUUAAGUUUAUGAAAAUAUAAAACUUUUCAAUUAUAAAAGGGUUCAAUAGUUAAGUUUUUGGAAAUAUGCAACUCUUCAAAGAAUAAACAUGUCUUUUGAUUAAGUGAAACUAUAAUAUCAUACUAAGGAAAUGAAAUCAUGACCAUUAGAUUAUUAUAGAUUAGGAACAAACUCCAAUGUUGGAUGUUAAUUAAUUAUUUUCUCUAUGAAAAAAUGAUGAUAUCAACGGUUAAAAAAAGACAGGUUUACUAUUAUAUACAAUUGUUUUAUUAUAGAUUAAUAAUUUAUAUAUAUAUACCCCUUUGUACAUAUAAACCAAAUAAUAUAAGAUUUUGGUUGUAAUAAGUUAUGCUAUAUAUAUAUAUAUUAUUAAUAAUUUUACUGAAAUCAUAUAUUUACAUAUUAUUUUCAGAAACAUUUAAUUUAAAAAAUCCUAUAUAGAAUGGUGAUAUAAGAAAACUUAAAAGUGAGUUCCCCCAUAUUAUAACCCAAAAAUACGAAAUUAAAUUAACUUAAUUUUAGAAAAAAAAUGAUGGGUGCAAAAUAUUAUGUAACGGAAAUAGAGUACAAAAUAUAUGUUUCAUAGAAUUCUCCGCGAUAGAAGAUAGUCUUUUUAAGAACAAUAUAGAAUAAUCAUAAAAUAAAGUAACCAUUGUAAGAGAAGAAUUUAUUUUAACGAACAUAUGCCUUAUAUAUAUAUAUAUAUUUGUAAAACUUACAUAUAUAGUUCACGUGUAAAUAUUAAUCUAAACCAGUAAAAACUAAAAAAUAGAUUUCCUCGUGUAGAGAGGAGAAUAUUAGAAACCGUCAUCUUCUCUGACGGCGAAAUAAGAGCCAACAGGCACCAAACCUUUUCCACGUGAUUAUUGCAAAAAAAAAAAGAAUAAUCUCUCAUUGAUGUUUCUCGUGUAUCGUUCAUCUUUUGAUGAAGAAUCGAUUUUUUUCUUCUUUAUAUCGUCUACCGUUUAGUCUACCGUAUGUUUCUCAUGUUUUUAUCGAUGGCUUUUUUAUGCUGUUGGUGAUCUCAUUAAUCCCAUCAUAUCUCUCUUGGGUUAUCAACAAACAUAUGAUCAAAAACAAAAAGCUGUUAAUUGAUUCAUACUUUUUUCUCCUUUUGGGUGCAAAAUGUACUGGGAAGUGUACUUCGAUGACUCACAACUUUUUUGGCUUUUUUUUUGUUCACUUCAUCUAAAAAGAUAUCGAUUGAAACCGCUAUAGCCACCGUAAGUGACGCAGAAAAUUGCCACCGUAAGUGACGCAGAAAACUUGUAGAUUGUAGGACAUAAAAUUGAAUGGGGGUAAGAGCAAUGGCAAAAGAAUGUAACAAAGAUAAUAUAUAAAUUUUGUAAGAAAUUUUAUUUUGAAAGGGUUGUGUCUUUUGGUUUCAAAAAAAAUGAGAAAGAGUCGUGUCUUUUGAGAAGCAACGAUUCAAAAAUGAAAUAUUAAGACAUACCGUUGAAAGCGGUAGCUGAUGAUGAUAUACAUUAAUACUAAAAGUUUUAGUCUAAAACCCACCCAUUAAAUUUCAUAAGGAAGCAAUCUCUUUUUUUCUUUCUAAUCUUCUUCAAGAAGAUUAAAGAAGAUUAUGCACUGUCAAUUUAGAGGAAGCAAUCUACACUAUUCAAAAGAAAGUAAUAAAGAUAUAAAAUAUAAUUUUGUUAAGAAAUUUUAUUUUGAAAGGAAUGUGUCUUUUGGUGUUUAAAAAAAAUGAGAAAGGGACGUGUACAUACACAACUUUUCUCGGGAUGUUUCUGAAGUGUUCCGUACAAGAGACGGCUGACGUGUACCGUGCAUCAUAUGUAAAAAUAGGCAACGUAGGUAUACAUAUAUUGUUUAGAGAGGUGUGACCAGGCCCGGUCCUCUGGGUAGGCGAUAGAAGCGGUGGCGUGGAGCACAAAAUCUUUAUCCAGUUUUUUUUCAAAGCUAAAUUUGUCCAUUUAAGAAGAAAUUUUUUUAUCCAGCUGAUUAAUGUUUGUAUUUUAGUUUUGAUUAGGGCACUGAACACUCAUGGACCGGCGCUGGGUGUGACUGAAGGGUUGUGUUGUUUAUGAAUGCAAUGAUUCAGAAAAAGAUGCCUAAUAUGAAGGGUUGUGUUGUUUGAGAUUGAAACGAUUCGGGAAAGAUGCCAAAUACGACUAUUUGUGAUGACGUAAGCUAUUUACAGGGAGAUUGAAGAUGUCAUCAAUUUGCUAUUAUAUAUAGAUUUGUGUUUGGUACUUUUCAUAUUAUAAUCAUUGGAAGGCCGCUGUUGGCUGCAUUCACUGUAUUUUUUCUUUAUUGAUCCUAUGUUUUCUUUAUUGACCCUAUGUAUCUCAUAUUCUUUCUGGCAAACUAAAAAUCGCAUUCAUCUCGUGUUCCACAAUUGACUUUUAGGAUCUUCUAACUUGAUUUUGUUAGUUUUGUUAACAUGAUAUUCAUUAUUUAUUGUUUUUGAAAAAAAAGACUUACACAUCAACGUAUUUUAUUUGUACAAUAUGUUAUUUUUUUAUUAGAUGGAAAAAUAAGUCAAAUUGAAAGUUUUUAAGAUACAACUGCCACUUUAAAAGUUUGAAGUACUAACCGAAAAACUUCAACAUUUAAAAUGUUAGUAGAUGUCAAUUUAAAGAUUUUUUUUAUGCGUUUCGCAAAUUAAGAAUAAGAUUUGUCAUAACAAAAAGUAAAUAUUACAAAAAGGUGGUGGACUAUCCGAUUUCAUAGUUUGAUGUAUAUAUACGGAAGCCCUAGAACCAAAGGAGGAGUUGUGUGUGUGAUUUGUUAAAAAGGUGUUCACAGAAUGAAGGCGACGGCUAACAUAGCGGUGUGGUGGGACAUGAAGGACUGUCCGAUUCCGGAGGGUUAUGAGGCUGGUCAGGUCCGAUCGAGUUUAGAAGCAGCGUUCAAGGAACAAGGCUACUCUGGCCCUGUCUCCAUCACUGCCUAUGGCGACCAAACACAAACCCCUGAUCACAUACUGAAAGGGCUCUUAUCCACUGGAGUCUCUGUAGCACAUACCAAAUCCGAGAGCACAUCCUACUUCAUGUAUGAGGAUUUGGUGAAAUGGCGACGUCUGAAUCCUCCUCCUGCUACAAUGAUGAUCAUAUCAGAUCAGGUGGGAGAUAAAUCCACCUGGGAUCUGGUCCGGCUACAGCAACGGACCCUACACAACUUUUUCUGGCUUAUUCAGUUGAGCCAGAAUAUAUGGUUCUCUCCAUUAGUGAACAGUGGUGCUGGAAAAAAUUACUAAGCAGCUCACCACCUGCUGCUGGUGUUCAGGGUGGUGCCAUGUUUUAUUGCAAAUCGUGCAAUUACAAUAGUGGAUACCUGAAGAAAUUCAGGAAGCAUCUCUCUGAGUUACAGUCAUUCACGGGAAGUAAGCAUCCUCUCUCUCUCUCUCUUUCUUUCUCUUUGCGUGAUUGGGGAAGAAACUACAAGGCGACGCCUGAAUUUGCCACAGCUAAAAUACAGGUGUGGUGGGACUUGUUUGACUGUCCGAUACCCCAAGGUUAUGAUGCUCGUCAGGUCCGUCCGAGUAUAGAAGCGGCAGUCAAGGAACUUGGCUACUAUGGUCCUGUCUCCAUCACUGCCUAUGGCGACCAUAAACAUACUCCCCUACAAGCUCUCUCUUCCACUGGUGUCGAUAUUGCACAUACCGUUAGCGAUGUCACAUACUCGCGAAUGUUUAGCGAUAUGUUGGAAUGGCAUCGUAAUAAUCCUCCUCAAACAGCUGCUAUAAUCAUGCUCAUAUCGGAUAAUGUGGAGAUCUUGGAUUGUGGUCUUGUCGGGCUACUACAAGAGAAUAAUUACAACUUUUUUCUGGCUUAUUCGUUUAGGCCUUACAAAAUGUCAUACCUGCUCACUUCUGCUGAAUGGCUCUGGGAAAGCAUACUUUCAGGGGAAAAAAGACUACUUCAGAACUGCAGCAGCAGUGGAAGUGGGAACGAUCAAUCUACUGUUGGGAUUCUCUUUAAGAUAACUUGAUUACUAGGUUAAGAGUAAUCCUAUGUGAGAUAGGAUUAGGAAGUGCUUUGCCUAAUGAGUUUAGAAAAUUAUAUUAUCUAUAUAAAGAGAUGCAAGAGUGUUGCAGCCUUGAGUUUUGCCUAAUGAGUUCUAUUGCAGAUUGUGUGUCGGCUUUAAUACCAAAAGCAUUGAUAAGUUCAGGGCUCAUCUCUCAAGUGAUGAAGAACAUGCACAAGAAGAAAAUGAAAUUCGUGAGCAGAUGGUUUUAUCAGGUGAGAACGAGAGGCUGUGUCAAUUAGCUGAGUACGAUCGACA